UCUUGGACAUGUCAUACUCUCUCAACCCCAGAGGGAGGCAAUGGCAAACCCUUUCUGAACAAAUCUUGACAAGAAAGCCUCUUAGAGUUACCAUAUGUUGGAAAUGAUUUGAAAGCACCAAAAACGCCCCCCAACCAACUUCUCCAAACAGCCAGAAAGCUUUCCAAAUUCUGCCUGUAAUAGAUUAUUUCUAACUUCUGCUGCUCACUGGCCACAUUUUAUUUACACCCUUCAGAAUAAUGAUAAUUGUGCUAUUCAUAUUUUUCUAAUAUUUGGGGGAGGUGACAAUGAUGAUAGGUCAACAGGGCAAUCCGAUCUAUGCAUAUAUUUUGAGAAACACAAAAAGGAGGAAGGAAGGAGCAAGGGAAAAAAGAAAAUGUGACAGGACCUUUUAGACUGACUUUUUAUUUUCAAAUGGGCCUUCAUUGAUUUAAAGCCACUUUUUGGGAUGCAGCAUCUGUUGAGAUCUAUUGCGUCUUAUGGGACUUGAAAAUUUAUAAUGUUAAGGUUAGAACACAUUGCAUUGUGACUGCAUGGUUUUGGAAUCACAACUACAUUCCAUAGAGACAAAGGAGAAAAGGCAGGAGACGUAAUAAGGGAAUGGAUGAUGACGAUGAUGAUGAUGAUGAUGAUGAGUGGAUCUGGGAGACAUACAAGGCAGAACAGGAUGAGAGGGAGAAAGAAAGGGCUGGGGAAAGUGGGAAGAAUCAAGUGCAGUGAGUUCUACCUGCUUCUCCUGUGCUUACCUAAGGAAUCAAACCAGUAGCAGAGCACCUCUGUAGGAGAGUUUAUGUAGGAGAGUUUAUGUCCACUCCGUCAUUGAUAAUGAUACACUGAAUUGAUAUACUCAAAAAAAGAAAUUGACUACUCCAGGUUUUCCAUACCUGCAUAACCACCACCUGAAGAAGACUACACAGUCGAAACCGGUCAUGUAUGGUGUCUAACCUUGGACUUGUUUAGAUUGGAUUAAAAGGAUUCACUUACUUGGACAUUAAAUUUGGACUCACAAUUAGAGAUUUAUACAGUCCUCCAUGAGGAACAUGAACUUUGGUGGGCAUUGGACUCACAAACUCUGAAUAUACAGUUUUACUUUCUCUGAAUAUAGAGUUUUCUUUCUAUGAAUGUAUGUGUGUUGGUAACACAUGGAUUAUAUUUUGGUUUAAUUGCUGUUGUAUAGUUCAUAUCAUUGGAUUGCAUUUCUAGCUGUAGUGGCCUCUUGCCUGUGUUGUGAUAAUGCAGCCACAUUGUAGACUCACACCCUUAAAAAAUAAAUAAAGAGCCCUCGGAGGUGCAGGGGGUUAAGCCCUUGUGCUGGCAGGACUAAUGACUUGA